rnacentral:rRNA from 1 species
UUCCGGUUGAUCCUGCCGGACCUGACUGCUAUCGGAUUGAUACUAAGCCAUGCGAGUCAUUGUAGCAAUACAAGGCAGACGGCUCAGUAACGCGUAGUCAACCUAACCUAUGGACGGGAAUAACCUCGGGAAACUGAGAAUAAUGCCCGAUAGAACACUAUACCUGGAAUGGUUUGUGUUCCAAAUGAUUUAUCGCCGUAGGAUGGGACUGCGGCCUAUCAGUUUGUUGGUGAGGUAAUGGCCCACCAAGACUAUUACAGGUACGGGCUCUGAGAGGAGUAGCCCGGAGAUGGGUACUGAGACACGGACCCAGGCCCUAUGGGGCGCAGCAGGCGAGAAAACUUUGCAAUGUGCGAAAGCACGACAAGGUUAAUCCGAGUGAUUUGUGCUAAACGAAUCUUUUGUUAGUCCUAGAACCACUAACGAAUAAGGGGUGGGCAAGUUCUGGUGUCAGCCGCCGCGGUAAAACCAGCACCUCAAGUGGUCAGGAUGAUUAUUGGGCCUAAAGCAUCCGUAGCCGGCUCUGUAAGUUUUCGGUUAAAUCUGUACGCUUAACGUACAGGCUGCCGGGAAUACUGCAGAGCUAGGGAGUGGGAGAGGUAGACGGUACUCGGUAGGAAGGGGUAAAAUCCUUUGAUCUAUUGAUGA